UGUCAAAACGAGACCCUUGAAUGUGUCUGGAAAAUGCAAGUAUGACUUCAGUGUCCAGUAUGUUAAAGGAAGUCCAGACCCUGGCCUCCGACAGACUUGGUGUCAAAUGUCAUCUGCCCGCUUCGCCAUGUGAACAGGGUAUAAUCCGACCCAUGAUAAAGAAUACAAUUUUCGAGAGCUGCUCAAAAAGUCGCAAAGAAAAAAAAAAACAAAAACAAGAUUUUAGAAGACUACGUAUGACAACAGGUGGCCACAGAAACAAGAGCAAAAUGAUAACAGCAAAGAAAGGGCGCCCGGAGGACAUGAACACAGCGAAGAGACUGGAUCCUGCGCCUCCCGCCCAUCCUCCAUCUAGUCUUACUCGUCAUCAAACCAGGUCAACAGCUAACAGUGCAAUUAAGCUUUUGUUUUUCAUGUAACAGUCGCCUUUGUAAGUACACCUGACAGACUUUAUCCUCUCUAUUUCUUGUUUCCUUUUGGACUAUUUGUUAUGUCAUUGUUAAUGUGUGCUGACUGCCAUGAAGGUAACUUCAGUUAUUAACUAUGGUAAAUAGCACCUUCUACUUUAAAUAUAUUUUGAAAAACAACGUUUAGUGUUGAUUUAAGCCACA